AAUUAAUUAAGAUUAAUUCUGUCUUGUUUAGGUUUAAUUGGCUAUAAAUUAGGUAAUAUUAAAUAUUAGUUUUUGCGUGUUUUAUAAUUUGUCUAAAAGAUAAUUAGUUUAUUAAUUGUAGUUUUUAAUUUUGAGGGUUACAUAAAUGUAGAUUCAGUUAAUUAAAUUUAGAAUUGUAUAAGGGUGUGCCAGCAUACGCGGUUAUACAUCCGAUUCAAGUCAAUUUUUUUGGUUUAUAUUAAUUUUGUAUUAUUUGAGAAUUAAUUUUUUAUUAUUAGGUGAAAUUUUUAAUUUAAUUUAUGUUUCUUGGGUUAUAAGAUUAUUUGAAGUUUAGGGUUUAAACUAGGAUUAGAUACCCUAUUAUUCUAAAUGUAAAAUUUAACCAUGGUAUUAAUAGUUAUGAUCUUUAAAUUAAAAGGAUUUGGCGGUAAUUUAGUCUUUUCAGAGGAACCUGUUCUGUAAUCGAUAAUCCACGUUGGAUAUUACUCUUAUUAAUUGUUUGUAUAUCUCUGUCAUUGAAUGUUUUUUUAGAUUAUUUUCUUAAAUUAUUUAUUUAAAUGAUGUCAGGUCAAGGUGCAGCUAUAUCAGAGGUUGAAAUGGGUUACAUUUAAUGUUAUUUAUUGGAAUAUUAUCAUUGGAAUUAAUGUAAUAUGAAAGAGGAUUUGAAAGUAAUUUUUAUUAUUUUAUAUAAAUGAUUUUAGCUCUAAAUUAUGUACACAUCGCCCGUCACUCUCGUUAAUAAGACAAGAUAAGUCGUAACAAAGUAAUUCUACCGGAAGGUGGAGUUUGAUAUAUA
rnacentral:ncRNA from 1 species